rnacentral:rRNA from 1 species
UGAGGAAUAUUGCGCAAUGGAGGCAACUCUGACGCAGCCAUGCCGCGUGCAGGAAGAAGGCGCUACGCGUUGUAAACUGCUUUUAACCGGGAAGAAACCCCAGGACGUGUCCUGGGUUGACGGUACCGGAGGAAUAAGCACCGGCUAACUUCGUGCCAGCAGCCGCGGUAAUACGAAGGGUGCAAGCGUUAUCCGGAUUCAUUGGGUUUAAAGGGUGCGUAGGUGGGGCGUUAAGUCAGUGGUGAAAGCCUACAGCUCAACUGUAGAAUUGCCAUUGAUACUGGCGCUCUUGAGUGCGCUUGAAGUAGGCGGAAUGUGCCGUGUAGCGGUGAAAUGCUUAGAUAUGGCACAGAACACCAAUUGCGAAGGCAGCUUACUAAGGCGAUACUGACACUGAGGCAC